GUGGGUAUAGCUUAGUGGUAGAGCACCUGCUUAGCAUGCAUGAGGUCCUGGGUUCAAUCCCCAGUCUCUCCA
rnacentral:tRNA from 1 species